rnacentral:tRNA from 1 species
GGUGGGUUGGCUGAGUGGUUAGAGCGUAGGUCUCUUAACCGAAAGGUUGCGGGAUUGAGUCCCGAAAGAGGCU